UACGUAGGGUGCAAGCGUUGUCCGGAAUUAUUGGGCGUAAGAGCUACGUAGGCGGUUCGUCGCGUCGGCUGUGAAAACCUGAGGCUCAACCUCAGGCCUGCAGUCGAUACGGGCGGACUUGAGUACUGCAGGGGAGACUGGAAUUCCGUGGUGUAGGCGGUGAAAUGCGCAGAUAUCAGGAGGAACACCGGUGGCGAAGGCGGGUCUCUGGGCAGUAACUGACGCUGAGGAGCGAAAGCGUGGGGAGCGAACAGG
rnacentral:rRNA from 1 species